CAUGAGCCACCGUGCUGGGCCAAUUUGUGUCAUUUUCUUUUUUCCUGAUUGCUCUGACUAUUGAUCUUCUCAAAGAACACACUUUGAUUUCAUUCAUUUCUCUAUGUCUUUUAGUUUUUAAUUUUAUUGAUUUUUACUUUUAUCUUCUUUCUGUUCUUUGGUUUUACUUCAUUUUCUGUCUAGUUUUUUCUUUUUUGAAGCCGAGGUCUUUGUUUUGCCCAGGCUUGUCUGGAACUCUUGGGCUCAAGUGAUCCUCUCACCUCAGCCUAUUUCUGAUACUGAUUUCUAAUUUAAUUUCAUUGUGGAUAGAAAAUAUGUUUUAUAUGACUUGACUCCUCUUAAUAUUUUUAUGGCCUACAAUA
rnacentral:lncRNA from 1 species